UGGGGGCGGUGCUGACCUUGAGAGAGCGGAGGAGGCGCAGGCGCAGCACAGUUUAAACUUGAUUUUGUGAGGGGACGAACAGCGUGACAAUUAAAAGAAGAUCUGGGAAUCAAAAGCUUCCUGAGGCCUUCACCAGAAGCAGAUGCUGGUGCCGUGCUUCUACAGCCUGCAGAACUGAAGGACUUUACAGCUUCUCUUUCGCAUAUCCAAAUUGCCAGCAUCACCGCUCUUGCACUCCAAGCCAUUAUUAAGUAAAGUAAAGAACACAAACACUGUGAUACUGCUACACUUGAUCUGAUAACCAAGAAGUCUACUAAGUGACUAACAGAAGAGAAGACAUGGAGAAGAGGAGGGAGUAGUUGUGACCGUGGAGGCAGAGAAUGGAGUAAUGUGAUCAUAAAUCAAGGAAUGCUGACAGCCACUAAAGCUGGAGAAGGCCAAGGACAGAUAUUCAAUCCUCCCGUAGAAGUACAGCCCUGCUAAUGCAUUGAUUUUGGACUUCUGGCCUCAGAACUGUCUGGAAAGCAUGGAAAUUUGUAUCUUCAUUCACUUUUGUUUUCAUGGACUCUUUUCAUGUUUGAACUUUUCAUGGUAUGAGCUGUUUUAUAAUCUAUAAUAUGGAAUGUUUCUCAUACGAAUGUUUUUCUUAUUGAAGAAUGCCAUAGAAAUAAGGGUGUGAGGUAUACUUACUUGACAGGAGAAUUUUACUCCUUUUAUUUUAUUUACUUAUUUAUUUUUAAGACGGAGUCCUGCUGUGUUGUCCAGGCUGGUCUUGAACCCCUGGACUCAAACGAUCUUUCUCCUUGGCCUCCCAAAGUUCUGGGAUUACAGGUAUGAGCUACAGUGCCCUGAGAGUCCUUUUUAAAGUAGUGAAUGCUCAAACAUGGAAUUAAAUUUAGGCAAAGCUCACUUUUAUUUAUACAUAAAACAACUUCAGCCAUGUACCUCAUAACGAUAUUUUGGCCAAUGUCUGACCUUAUAUACAAUGGUUGUCCUGUACGAUUAUAAUGAAGCUGAAAAUUUUCUAUUGCCUAGUAACAUUGUAGUAAUUGUAAUGUAGCACAACCUAUCACACGUGUUUGUAGUGAUGCUGGUGUAAACAAACCGACUGCAUUGCCAGUCUAGUAUAAAAGUCUAGCACACACAAUUAUCCACAGUAUAUAAUAGUUGAUAAUGAUAAUAAACAACUGUCACUGGCUUAUAUAUUUGCUAUACUAUACUUUUUAUCAUUAUUUUAGAGUAUAUUUAGAGUAUAUUAAGCAGCCUUAGGCAGGUCUUUCAGGAGGCAUUCCAGAAGAAGGCAUUGUUAUCAUAGGAGGUGACAGCUCCCUGUGUGUUGUUGCCCCUGAAGAACUUCCAGUGGGACAAGAUAUGGUGGUGAAAGACAGUGAUAUUGAUGAUCUUGACCCUGUGUAGGCUUAGGCUCAUGUGUUUGUGUCUUCAUUCUUUUUUUUUUUUUGAGAUGGGGUCUCGCACUGUUGCCCAGGCUGGAGUGCAGUGGCGCGACCUUGGCUCACUGCAAGCUCCGCCUCCUGGGUUGAUGCCAUUCUCCUGCCUCAGCCUCCCAAGUAGCUGGGACUACAGGUGCCCACCACUACGCCUGACUAAUUUUUUGUACUUUUAGUAGAGACGGGGUUUCACCAUGUUAGCCAGGAUGGUCUUGAUCUCCUGACCUCGUGAUCCGCCCGCCUCGGCCUCCCAAAGUGCUGGGAUUACAGUAUUUAAGACAUUUUUAUAAAUUAAAAAUUUUUUAAAUAGAAAAAAGCCUAUAGCAUAAGGAUAUAAAGAAAAAGUAUUUUUAUGCAGCUGCACAAUGUAUUUGUGUUUUAAACUGUGUUAUUAUGCAAGAGUUACAGAGUUUUUAAAAAUAAAAAGUUUAUAAAGUAAAAAACUUACAACACAUCAAAAGAUAAUACACCAUGAUCAAGUGGGCUUUAUCCCAGGGAUGCAAGCAUAGUUCAACAUAUGCAAAUUAAUAAGUGAUAUCAACAGAAUGAAGGACAAAAGCUUUAUGAUCAUCUUAACAGAUACAGAAAAGCAUUUGAUAAAAUUUAACUUCCUUCAUGAUAAAAACUCUCGAAGGAACAUACCUCAGCAUAUUAAGGGCCAUAUAUGGUUAACCCAGAGCUAAAAUCAUACUGAACAGGGAAAAGCUGAAAGCCUUCCUGCAAAGAACUGGAACAAGACAAGGAUGACCACUUGCACCACUCUUAUUCAACAUGGUACUGGAAGUCCUAGCCAGAGCAAUCAGGCAAGAGAAAGAAUUAAAAGACAUCCAGUUGGAAAAAAGGAGGUCAUAUAUUUUCUCUGCAGACAACAUAAUCUUAUAUCUAGAAAAACCUGAAGACUCCACCAAAAAGGGUGAGCAUGGUGACUCAUGCCUGUAAUCUCAGCACUUUGAGAGGCUGAGGCAGGAGGAUCACUUGAGCCCAGGGGUUCAAGACCAGCCUGGACAACAUAGUGAGACCCCAAUCUCUAAAAAAAGUUAAAAACUUUAGCCAGGUGUGGUGGCACAUGCCUGUUGUCCUAGCUGCUUGUGAGCCUGGGGUGGGAGGAUCACUUGAGCCCUGGAGUUUAAGGCUGCAGUGAGCAAUGAUCAUGCCACUGCACUGUAGCCUGGGUUGUGACAGCGCAAGACACUGUUAAUAAACAAGACAAAACAGACUCCAUCAAAAAGCUCUUAGAGCUGAUAAACAAAUUCAGUAAAGUUUCAGGAUCCAAAACCAACAUGCAAAAAUCAGUAGUGUUUCUAUACGCCAAUAACAAACAAGCUGAAAAAUACAUUAAGAAAGCAAUUCCAUUUACAAUAGCUACAAAAAAAAAAACUUAGAAAUAAAUGUAACCAAGGCGGUAAAAGACCUCUAUGCCAUAAACGACAGAACAUUGAUGAAAGAAAUUGAAAAGGACACAAAUAGAUAUCCCAUGUUCAUGGAUAGAAAUAAUUAAUAUUGUUAAAAUGACCAUACUACUGAAAGUAAUCUACAGAUUCAAUGCAGUCCCUAUCAAAACACCAAUAAAAUUACUCACAGAAAUAGAAAAAAAAAUCCUAAAAUUUGUGUGGAACAACAAAGGCCCUAGGUAGCCAAAGCAUUCCUGAGCAAAAAUUAUAAAGUGAGAGGCAUUGCCCAACCAGACUUCAAAAUAUACUACUAAGCUAAGUAACCCAAACAACAUGUUACUGGUAUAAAAACAGACACAUAUACCAAUGGAACAGAAUAGAGAACCCAAGAAUAAUCUAUCUAUUUAUAGCCAACUGAUUUUUUGUGAACAUGCCAAGAAUAUACAUUGGGGAAAGGAUAUUCUCUUUAAUAAAUCAUGUUGGGAAAAUUGGAUAUCCGUAUACAGAAGAAUGACACUAAACUCCUAUCUCUCACCAUAUACAAAUAUCAAUUCAAAAUGAAUUUAAAAACUUAAAUAUGAGACUCCAAACUGUAAAACUACUAAAAGAAAACACAGAAGAAACACUUCAGGACAUUGGUCUACAUUGGUCUAGCCAAAGAUUUUAUGUCUAAGACUUCAAAAGCAUAGGCAACAGAAACAAAAAUAAAUAAAUGGGAUUAUAUGAAACUAAAAAACUUCUGCACAGCAAAGGAAACAAUCAACAGAGUGAAGAGAUGACUUGUAGAGUGACAGAAAGUAUUUGCAAACUAUUAAUCUGAUAAGGGACUAAUAUCCAGAAUAUACAAGAAACUCAACAGGAAAAAAAAAGUCCCAUUAAAAAGUGGGCGAAGGAUCUGAAUAGAUAUUUCUCGAAAGAAAACAAGCAAACGGCCAACAAAUACAUGAAAAAAUGCCCAACAUCACUAAUCAUCAGGGAAAUGCAGAUCAAAACCACAGUGAGAUAUCAUCUCACCCCAGUUAGAAUGGCUAUUAUCAAAAAGGCAAAAAAUAGGUGUGGUGGCAUGUGUCUGUGAUCCCAGCUACUCAGGAGGUUGGGGCCAGGAAUUUAAGCUGCAGUGCGCUAUGAUCACACCUGUGAUCACUGCACUCUAGCCUGGGCAACAUAAUGAGAACCCAUCUCUAAAAAAAUACUAAUAAUUAAACAUUUUUAAGAAGACAAGAAAUAAAUGCUGACCAGGAUUCAGAGAAAAAGAAACAUACGCUGUUGGUGAGAAUGUAAAUUAGUACAGCUAUUGGCCAGGUGCAGUGGCUUACGCCUGUAAUCCCAGCACUUUGGGAGGCCAAGGUGGGCAGAUCACUUGAGGCCAGGAGUUCAAGACUUGCCUGGCCAUCUCUACUAAAAAUACAAAAAUUAGCCAGGCAUGAUGGGACACACCUGU
ensembl:lncRNA TMEM161B-DT TMEM161B divergent transcript